rnacentral:rRNA from 1 species
CAUAAGUAACGAUAAAGCGGGUGAAAAGCCCGCUCGCCGGAAGACCAAGGGUUCCUGUCCAACGUUAAUCGGGGCAGGGUGAGUCGACCCCUAAGGCGAGGCCGAAAGGCGUAGUCGAUGGGAAACAGGUUAAUAUUCCUGUACUUGGUGUUACUGCGAAGGGGGGACGGAGAAGGCUAUGUUGGCCGGGCGACGGUUGUCCCGGUUUAAGCGUGUAGGCUGGUUUUCCAGGCAAAUCCGGAAAACUAAGGCUGAGGCGUGAUGACGAGGCACUACGGUGCUGAAGCAACAAAUGCCCUGCUUCCAGGAAAAGCCUCUAAGCAUCAGGUAACAUCAAAUCGUACCCCAAACCGACACAGGUGGUCAGGUAGAGAAUACCAAGGCGCUUGAGAGAACUCGGGUGAAGGAACUAGGCAAAAUGGUGCCGUAACUUCGGGAGAAGGCACGCUGAUAUGUAGGUGAAGUCCCUCGCGGAUGGAGCUGAAAUCAGUCGAAGAUACCAGCUGGCUGCAACUGUUUAUUAAAAACACAGCACUGUGCAAACACGAAAGUGGACGUAUACGGUGUGACGCCUGCCCGGUGCCGGAAGGUUAAUUGAUGGGGUCAGCGCAAGCGAAGCUCUUGAUCGAAGCCCCGGUAAACGGCGGCCGUAACUAUAACGGUCCUAAGGUAGCGAAAUUCCUUGUCGGGUAAGUUCCGACCUGCACGAAUGGCGUAAUGAUGGCCAGGCUGUCUCCACCCGAGACUCAGUGAAAUUGAACUCGCUGUGAAGAUGCAGUGUACCCGCGGCAAGACGGAAAGACCCCGUGAACCUUUACUAUAGCUUGACACUGAACAUUGAGCCUUGAUGUGUAGGAUAGGUGGGAGGCUUUGAAGUGUGGACGCCAGUCUGCAUGGAGCCGACCUUGAAAUACCACCCUUUAAUGUUUGAUGUUCUAACGUUGACCCGUAAUCCGGGUUGCGGACAGUGUCUGGUGGGUAGUUUGACUGGGGCGGUCUCCUCCUAAAGAGUAACGGAGGAGCACGAAGGUUGGCUAAUCCUGGUCGGACAUCAGGAGGUUAGUGCAAUGGCAUAAGCCAGCUUGACUGCGAGCGUGACGGCGCGAGCAGGUGCGAAAGCAGGUCAUAGUGAUCCGGUGGUUCUGAAUGGAAGGGCCAUCGCUCAACGGAUAAAAGGUACUCCGGGGAUAACAGGCUGAUACCGCCCAAGAGUUCAUAUCGACGGCGGUGUUUGGCACCUCGAUGUCGGCUCAUCACAUCCUGGGGCUGAAGUAGGUCCCAAGGGUAUGGCUGUUCGCCAUUUAAAGUGGUACGCGAGCUGGGUUUAGAACGUCGUGAGACAGUUCGGUCCCUAUCUGCCGUGGGCGCUGGAGAACUGAGGGGGGCUGCUCCUAGUACGAGAGGACCGGAGUGGACGCAUCACUGGUGUUCGGGUUGUCAUGCCAAUGGCACUGCCCGGUAGCUAAAUGCGGAAGAGAUAAGUGCUGAAAGCAUCUAAGCACGAAACUUGCCCCGAGAUGAGUUCUCCCUGACUCCUUGAGAGUCCUGAAGGAACGUUGAAGACGACGACGUUGAUAGGCCGGGUGUGUAAGCGCAGCGAUGCGUUGAGCUAACCGGUACUAAUGAACCGUGAGGCUUAACCUU